UGAAUCUGUUGAUGUAUUUAUUUGCACUCCUGUAGUAAUUUACAGUCAUGAAAGCUAAAUUGUGACUUAACUUUUUUCCUCUCUCAGUAGGCUUUUACGGAUGUAUUGACCAGAUGUCCUGGAAGUGCCCCCUGAUGCAGACCCAGUUGUUGGGUAGCCACCCAUGCACGUUGACACAGCCCCCAGCAGUGGGCACCCAUGGGGAUGGACCCAGGAGUGGAGGAUGACCCAAUAGGUGGUGGGUAGCCACCCAUGCACGUUGACACAGCCAGCAGCGAGUACCCAGGGCGAUGGACCCAGAAGUGGAGGAUGAUCCAAUAGGAGUGCUGGAGCGAUAGGGGGCCAAUCAUCUCUAAUUGAAACCCUUAUAAAGACUCUGGGCGGCUCCGACUCACUCUCUCUCUCUUGAAUCUGGCUUCUUCAGACCACAGCCCUGACGGCCACACUGAGAAUGCAGACGAUGGUGGUGGAAUUAAUAACCUGGAUCAGGAGUCCUCUGACAGCAGAUCUGAAUGGGCACCUGAUGGUGAAGACAUUACAUGUGAGGAAAAGACACAUACUAGAGGGAGUCGAGGACUUGGCUGGCCUACAAAAUGUCACUAAGGGAUGCAACUGACAGCUGAAGUAGGAUCUUUUUUGUUUUUUGGCCAUGACAAUGCUUUGACAGUUGAUAAUAAACUGAUAAUUACGAUACUAUGUGCACACCAUUGUUUUUAUGGGAUUUUUUAAAAUAAUAAAAUGGAUGUACUCAUCGAAA